AACGAACGCUGGCGGCAUGCCUAACACAUGCAAGUCGAACGAGACCUUCGGGUCUAGUGGCGCACGGGUGCGUAACGCGUGGGAACCUGCCCUUAGGUUCGGAAUAACUCCCCGAAAGGGGUGCUAAUACCGGAUAAUGUCUUCGGACCAAAGAUUUAUCGCCUUUGGAUGGGCCCGCGUUGGAUUAGCUAGUUGGCAGGGUAAAAGCCUACCAAGGCGACGAUCCAUAGCUGGUCUGAGAGGAUGAUCAGCCACACUGGGACUGAGACACGGCCCAGACUCCUACGGGAGGCAGCAGUGGGGAAUAUUGGACAAUGGGCGAAAGCCUGAUCCAGCAAUGCCGCGUGAGUGAUGAAGGCCUUAGGGUUGUAAAGCUCUUUUACCCGGGAUGAUAAUGACAGUACCGGGAGAAUAAGCUCCGGCUAACUCCGUGC
rnacentral:rRNA from 1 species